UACGUAGGGUGCGAGCGUUGUCCGGAAUUACUGGGCGUAAAGAGCUCGUAGGUGGUUUGUCGCGUUGUUCGUGAAAACUCACAGCUUAACUGUGGGCGUGCGGGCGGAUACGGGCAGACUGGAGUACUGCAGGGGAGACUGGAAUUCCUGGUGUAGCGGUGGAAUGCGCAGAUAUCAGGAGGAACACCGGUGGCGAAGGCGGGUCUCUGGGCAGUAACUGACGCUGGAGGAGCGAAAGCGUGGGGAGCGAACAGG
rnacentral:rRNA from 1 species